rnacentral:lncRNA from 1 species
AUUAAAGAUUAACAAAUAUAAUCAAACAUCAAUCAAAUUCAAUUAAAAUUUCAAAAGAAUUAUACAAGAAAUACAAAGAAUUUUUAGAGAUCCUUUAAAGAAAUCUUAAAGGAAUAACAUAGAAAUUCAAACCUUAGUCAAAUCUUAGUCAAAUCCUUGUCAAAUCCUACUCAACCAUUAAAUAAGCCCUAAACAAAUCUUAGAAAAAUCUUAGUCAAAUCCUAGUCAAAUCCUAAUCAUAUCUUAAAUAAACCUUAAUCAAAUCCUAAUCAAAUAUUAAAUAAAUCCUAGUCAAAUCUUAAAUAAAUCCUAGUCAAAUCCUAAACAAAUCCUAAAUAAGUCCUAAUAAAAUCCUAAUCAAAUCUCAAUCAAAUCCUAAUCAAAUCCUAAAUAAAUCCUAAUCAAAUCCUAAAUAAAUCCUAAUCAAAUCCUAAUAAAUCCUAGUCAAAACCUAGAAUAAUCCUAAAUAAGCC